rnacentral:lncRNA from 1 species
UCUUACUGAUAGCACACCAACGCUUCUGCCAUUCAAAGCCAAGAAAACUGUGGUCUUUUCUGCGUUUUUCCAGGUAUCCAGCCUUCAGAACAAACUGAAGAUCUUGAGCUGCGAUAGGAGGAAACUGAUUCCCAUCAGAAUGUGCUUCAUCGUCUUUAUCACAUCGGUCAGAUGCUAUUGAGGCACUGUCAGGAGGUGAAGAAAAGGAGCUCUCUGACUCUUCCUCAUCUUCCAAUUCUUUAUCCUGGAAUUCUUGAGGGUAACUUGCCUUAACAUCUUUUAUCUUCUUAAGAAGAAUAUCCUUUUUUUCUUUUGCUUUCUUGGACAAAUUUUCUCCUUUUAGGGUCUGGGAAAUAAACGUGUCGAUAUCUGUCAGGAGGCCGCGGACGUCCUCGGGGAUAGCGGCGCCGUGCAUGCUGCGGGCGGCGGGUGCACCCCGCGGGCGACUCGCCUGGGCCGUGCCCCUGCCUCGGCCCCGCCGGGGAGGAAACAGCAACCCCGCCCCACGGCCGCAACGGCACGGCCUAGAGCCCCCGGGGCGGGACUUCGAGCAAGAAGGCGGGGUUUCGCAUCGGGGGAGCGGGGCUUCUCCCGCCCGCCGCGCACCGCCCCCCAGAGCCGCGCGUGCGCCUCCGCCAUCCCUAUGUUUACAGCUGCUGCUGGGUGUCCCCCGUAGCAACGCCUCCGCAACGAGGGAUCACCGUCCACGUGACCUGUGCCGGAAGUCGUGUUGCGUGAGGUCGCCGUGCGGAUCCCC